UGAGAUAACCGAGGCCUUUUCUCCGGGCACCUCAGAGCAAUUUAUUCUGCCUCGGCACACCCUUAGCUUCCAAAGGUCUGGGAUCAGACCACAAGCCUCAAAUUCUCUGAAGGGGAAAGCCUCUCUGCCCCACUAACCAACACCCGUGUCUGUGUCUGUGUCGAUCAGCAGGGACUGCUCAGCCGCACAUUGGAGUCCUGGUGUCCAUAAGGAAGACCGAAGACGCUGGGCUGGGCACCUACACCUACAUUCUCAGCCAUUUCCACCUGCCCGUGCGUGAGAGAAGGUUUCGAUGGUAGGAAGGCAGGCAACGGGGAAACUGAGAGGGACGGAGCUCCCGAGAAGCAGAAAGCAGCAGCGCCCGCUCGGAGCCCUAGGGAAGAGUCAAAAACUACCAUUCACGAUCGUAGAUUUUCCAGCAGAAGGUGCCAGAACUCCAUCACGGUGCUGGUCAGCAUGCCGUGACCAAGCGGAGGGGACUCCCGGAGCAGCCGUCUCAGACACAAGGGUGGACACGCUUUACGGUUGAUAAUGUAUCAUCAGAUAGGAUGUUGGCCCGAGGACGUAUACGGUUUCAGGAACACACAUUUCACAUUUGCCGAAGCACACGGGGCCUAGCUUCAGAGCAUCUUAAAAGACUGAUGUUCUGCCAAAUAUACUGACAUACUUUAGGCAAUACUGGCCUAAUCUCUACCUAACAACCCGCUUGGAUUGAAUUGCCUGCACUGACUGUUACUGGAGUUCAUGAUGGAGAUUAAGCCACAGUUGUUCAUCUGUUCAACAAAGUCUGCCCGCUGUGCAAUCUGUGGCUCUCCAGGGCUGGGGUGUUGAAGAAAACCUGCUGGCUGUGAAACAGAAGGGGAGUUGUUUUAUUUCAUGCCGGUACUUUUCAGUGUGAGCAAGCUUAUUUCUUGUUUAAAAAAAAAAAAAAAAAAAAAAAAAAGAGGCAAAAACUUAAUCUCUCGAUCCUUUGAAUUGAGGAGAAAUUUUUAAAAACAUACAAUUUUCCUCAUAUAAGGUAGUGGUAUUUUUCCUAAGGGGGAGACAGAUUGCCCCAGAAAGAAGAAAAAAAAUGAAGUUCUCUCCAACCCCAUUUUCAAAUUCGAUCCCGGGCAUUCCCUUUGAGAGAAGUUGGGUGUUUGCCCAGGAAGUUGUGAGCGGCAGCCAAGAUUCACUCACACCUGGGAUAUAUAACCUCCUACAGAAGCGGGCAGGGGAGAAGCCUGGCAUUUAUUGGAGGUCCUACUGGGUGCGAGGCACCGCGCUCACCACUUCCACCAUUAUUACCUUCGUGUGACAAUAACUAGGAAGUAGACCUGCUCUCUUGCCCACUUUGCAGAAGGAAACUAAACCUCCAAGUGGCUAAGGAUCUCCCCCGAGGUCAUGCUCCGUACACACCCCCAGGGCGGAAAGCAGCACUUUACUAUUGUUGCUUCUGGUUCUCUGCAGGUGUCUGCGUGGUUCUCACUUGGGGCUCAGGCAUCUACAGUUAGAUGUUGGCCAUGGCUGUGGUUACCCAGAGGCUCCGCUGGGCUGGAUGUCCCCAUAUGCUUGCUGAGCGAAUGAAAGCUAGAGCCGUCACUCAGUGUCAGAGGUAGCCUCUCUGAGAGGGACUGUCCUGAGAAGCCCGGGCAGAGGCCGCACGUCUCCUCUAGCUCUGGCCUUCAGCACUACUUCUGCAGGUUCUUAGCCAGAGUGAAUCAGAAGCCAGGCUUAGGUAAGCAAGA